rnacentral:rRNA from 1 species
GACGAACGCUGGCGGCGUGCUUAACACAUGCAAGUCGAACGGAAAGGCCCUGCUUUUGUGGGGUGCUCGAGUGGCGAACGGGUGAGUAACACGUGAGUAACCUGCCCUUGACUUUGGGAUAACUUCAGGAAACUGGGGCUAAUACCGGAUAGGAGCUCCUGCUGCAUGGUGGGGGUUGGAAAGUUUCGGCGGUUGGGGAUGGACUCGCGGCGUAUCAGCUUGUUGGUGGGGUGGUGGCUUACCAAGGCUUUGACGGGUAGCCGGCCUGAGAGGGUGACCGGCCACAUUAGGACUGAGAUACGGCCCAGACUCCUACGGGAGGCAGCAGUGGGGAAUAUUGCACAAUGGGCGGAAGCCUGAUGCAGCAACGCCGCGUGCGGGAUGACGGCCUUCGGGUUGUAAACCGCUUUCGCCUGUGACGAAGCGUUAGUGACGGUAAUGGGUAAAGAAGCACCGGCUAACUACGUG